UACGGAGGGUGCAAGCGUUGUCCGGAGUCACUGGGCGUAAAGGGCGCGUAGGCGGCUCAUGAAGGCUGUGGUGAAAGUCCGGGGCUCAACCUCGGAUCGGCCGUGGCGACUCGUGGGCUGGAGCACUGUAGAGGCGGGUGGAAUUCCGGGUGUAGCGGUGGAAUGCGUAGAGAUCCGGAAGAACACCAGUGGCGAAGGCGGCCCGCUGGGCAGUUGCUGACACUGAGGCGCGACAGCGUGGGGAGCGAACAGG
rnacentral:rRNA from 1 species